rnacentral:rRNA from 1 species
GAUGAACGCUGGCGGCGUGCCUAAUACAUGCAAGUCGAGCGAACAGACGAGGAGCUUGCUCCUCUGACGUUAGCGGCGGACGGGUGAGUAACACGUGGAUAACCUACCUAUAAGACUGGGAUAACUUCGGGAAACCGGAGCUAAUACCGGAUAAUAUAUUGAACCGCAUGGUUCAAUAGUGAAAGACGGUUUUGCUGUCACUUAUAGAUGGAUCCGCGCCGCAUUAGCUAGUUGGUAAGGUAACGGCUUACCAAGGCAACGAUGCGUAGCCGACCUGAGAGGGGGAUCGGCCACACUGGAACUGAGACACGGUCCAGACUCCUACGGGAGGCAGCAGUAGGGAAUCUUCCGCAAUGGGCGAAAGCCUGACGGAGCAACACCGCGUGAGUGAUGAAGGUCUUCGGAUCGUAAAACUCUGUUAUUAGGGAAGAACAAAUGUGUAAGUAACUAUGCACGUCUGGACGGUACCUAAUCAGAAAGCCACGGCUAACUACGU